rnacentral:tRNA from 1 species
GCGCCUGUAGCUCAGUUGGAUAGAGCAUCUGCCUUCUAAGCAGGGAGUCGGGAGUUCGAGUCUCUCCAGGCGCGCCA